ensembl:lncRNA
UAGUGUCACAGGUCGGAGCUGACCACAGAUGUUGUGAGUCACGCCCCUUCCUAAUUUCCACCUCGAGGAGGUCCCAAGAAUACCCCAAUGACCAGACACACGAGAGCCGGUAAGUAAAUUUUAAAACAGACUUUAUUAAAUUACUAAAAAAAAAGGGUAUGGGGAAGGGAGGCUAAAAUCCAACCCUCCUUUUGGAGAGUAACAAUCUCGAGUCUCUUAGACUCCGUCACGGGAGAUCUCAGGUGAGUCCUUCACUCCUCUUUCCUUCUGGCUAUGUGACGACAAUCAGCUUAUUCACAAGUGCCCCUUUGUUCUGACUUGCAGGACGACUGUCCAGGGCCCUCUCCUUUCCUGGACGUAACAGAUACAAGUGGUAAGUAUUGAGAGUUUGGAUGCACAAUGGAUACCUGCUGCUACCUUUGACGAACUCCGAGGCGGCCCAGCGGGUUGUACUCCCGGUCGUCCAGCUGCUGGGGGAACUGCACAAGGGCUACCGGGUUCCAACUAAAACCGUACUGGUAAGUGUACGGGAGGGGGUUUCCGCGGUCUCUGUAUCCUGAGUGACGAGUCGACAUGCAGGUAGACGCUUCAAAGGGACCCGCUAGAUCUGCACAAAAGCAUAAGUGUAAGUGUAACAGGACUGGACACGGAUAGUGGACAGAGGGGCCGCUGGCUCUUCACUCGGAGGCACAAGUAAGUCCGUAGGAAAGACAACUGGGGUUUCACUUGAGCAUGCAGGCGAGUGUACAACACAAUAUGCUGGCUUUAGCUUUGGGCAUAAGGUAAGUACAUCCAAUAUAACUGGGACUUCACUCUGGGCAGACAGGCGAGUGUACAACACAAUAUGCUGGCUUUAGCUUUGGGCAUAAGGUAAGUACAUCCAAUAUAACUGGGACUUCACUUGGGCAUACAGGAGCGUAAAACACAAUAUGCUGGCUUUAGCUUUGGGCAUAAGGUAAGUACAUCAAAGGUAACUGGGACUUCACUCUGGGCAGACAGGUGAGUGUACAACACAAUAUGCUGGCUUUAGCUUUGGGCAUACGUUUACGGUGAAUAUACAGGGAAACAGGAAGUGAUGUAACUCACAGACCUUCGAGGGAAUAGACGUCAGACGUUCCUUUUCUGAGGCUUCUACCAACCGACAAGUCAAGAGAUCUAGACAGGGGCGAACCUUUGAAGAACUCCACAGCAGGUAAUAAUACACGCACAGCUGAUUUCCUCCUACAGCAGCCAACUCCUCACCAUUAAUACUUCCCAGUAGAUCCACACUGUUCUUACUUGAAAUUGUUUCCCACCACCGUCACGUGGGGAAGAAGGGUCAGGAUGUCAUCGACGGCAUAUAAUUGGAGAUGUUUUCUUCGAGCCUCGGUAUUCACUUCCUUCACAGGAUUUCGUCGGGCCUGAAAGGUGGUUGUUGACGACACAACACAGCACAACACUGCAAUUUUCAAGUGUAUACACUCACAGCAAAGGACAAAGACUCACCCACUGCACUCCACACACUCUGGUGAAUUUAGGGUCAACACCCCGUCUGACCAAAGACUCUUCCUGGAAGUCGUGAAGACACUGAUGCCACGAAUAUUCAGAUUUAAACGUUGCCGCCACAACAGCCCAACAUCCUCUCUCGCUCACUGGUCCCGGCUCACCCACAAUCCUCCUCCACAGUGGGGCCGCUCACAUACUAUGCCACAAACUCACAAAACGCUCACAGAUGGUUCACUCUAGAUGAUUAUACUGCUGUACGAUGGUUUAGGGUACUCACACCGUUACUACACGAGGUCUCUUUUCCCUCUUCUUUCCAGCUCCUGGGUACUUCUCCUGCUGCCACGUGCCCUGUCGAAAAGGCCUCCUUCGGCGAUACUUCCGGUGAGUCUUCCUGUUUUCAACCACUCAGAAUUUGUUACACAUGUCCAUGGAGCAUUUCACAGUUAAGUAGACAUUCCAAUAUACUCAGCCCGGUGUCUGUUUCUGCCAAACCCUUGUCUCCGUCUUUGCCCAGCCAACAAUAUCCUCUGCCUUCUUUCCACGGUACUCGCCCAAACACUCCAACUCUCUCGCCGUAUCGGCUGAAAUAAAACAAAGAACUUUUUCCCCCCCUCUGCAGUUUCUGAGGCCCUCUUUAUACUCCUCCUUCUCUUCAUACUGCCCAAUCCACGAUCGCCCCGUUCAUCUAUCCACCUGCGAUCAAUAAAACCCUGAUUUCCCUUCCCGGAGUUCCCGGUGUUUGAGAAUUAUGGUCCGGGUGGAACCAAUCUCCGUCAUUUUUUAGUUCCGCCCUUACGAAGUCACUCCGUGACACU